rnacentral:lncRNA from 1 species
CAGGGUGGGUACAGCCAGGGCUCUGCACCAAGCGCUGGAUUUGGAGGGAGUGCUGGCUGAGGUGGGAACUCAUGCAAGGGCUGCAGAGCAAGGGCUGCAGGUGGUGAAACAGAGACUUCACGGUCUGGAGGCCAGUGUACAGGAGGUGGCCAGCCACCUGGCCCAGGUUGCACUGGCAGGGGAUGUGACCCCAGUACUGGGACAUCUGUCCAGUGGACCUGUGGCUCUCAGGACCCGUUUGGCCCUGACUCAGCGGCAGGCCCGGGAGGCAGAAGAGCAAGCCACGCAUGCCCUGGGCAUGGCCAGGAGCCUGGGCCAGGAGCUGCAGGUGGCCCAGCUUGGUAUGAUGGAGUUGCAGGAGGGCACGGACAGCCUUGUGGCCGCGGUGCAGGAUGCAGGAGAGCGGGCACACCGGGCGCACGCUGAGGCCCGAGAGCUGCUAACACUGGUACAGAACAGCUGGAGAAGACUGGAGGGGUUGGAACGCCGCCUGGUUCAGAAUGAGGAGGCACUGGGCAAGAAAGUGGCCACGCUGUGGGCUCUCGAGCAGCGGGCAGCAGAGCUACUGGGCCACAUGCGGCUGUGGGCCAGGGCAUACGGCACCUGCUGACUUCGGUCUGACUCCAAGUGACCCCACAGUGACCCAGGAAUCCCCUGACCUUGAGAGCCCAGAGACACCAGAGUGCCUGCUGACCCUGAGUGAUCCAUGUGACAGCCUGUCAUUUAGUGGUCCGCUGAUCUUGACAAAUAGGAGGGGUCACGGACAACUCCCUGAGGCCAUCUAGUGCUCCCCGAGAUCCUGAUAGAGCCUUAUCUCUGAGUGAUCCAUAAUUCUGAGCGCCCUCUAGUAUCCCUGAGCCCCUUAGAUUGACCACGUGACCCCCCUGGUGUCUGGUGACCCCACUCCAGAUAACUGGUGAACCUUGAUGUUUCCCCUAAAGAACCCCAGCUUUUUUCCCUGGGCCUGCCACUCCAGGGUACUCUCCACCUGACUCAAGACAGUAGGCGCAGAUGUAGCAAGCUCAAAGUUGUCCCGACAGGGCCCUAUGGACCCCGGAGUCUGGUCCCCGCCGAGGUCCCAGGGGCCUGGGUGGGGCACACGCUCCCGCAGCCCGCAUUCCAAGCCCGGAUCUGGGCGCUCCCGGCG